UGAUUAAGCCAUGCAAGUCGAGAGGGUUCGGCCCUCGGCGUACUGCUCAGUAACACGUGGAUAACCUGCCCUAAGGAAGGGGAUACCCCCGGGAAACUGGGUAUAAUACCCUAUAGAUUACAGAUGCUGGAAUGCCCUGUAAUCGAAAGUUCCGACGCCUUAGGAUGGAUCUGCGGCCGAUUAGGUUGUUGUCGGGGUAAUGGCCCAACAAGCCAGUGAUCGGUACGGGUUGUGGGAGCAAGAGCCCGGAGUUGGAUUCUGAGACACGAAUCCAGGCCCUACGGGGCGCAGUAGGCGCGAAAACUUUACAAUGCGGGCAACCGUGAUAAGGGAACCUCGAGUGCCUGUAUAUGCAGGCUGUCCAGGUGUCUAAAACACACCUGAAGAAAGGGCCGGGCAAGACCGGUGCCAGCCGCCGCGGUAAUACCGGCGGCUCGAGUGGUGGCCACUUUUAUUGGGCUUAAAGCGUUCGUAGCUGGGUCGUUAAGUCUCUUGGGAAAUCCGGCAGCUCAACUGUCGGGCGUCUAAGAGAUACUGGCGAUCUUGGAACCGGGAGAGGUGAGGGGUACUUCGGGGGUAGGAGUGAAAUCCUGUAAUCCUCGAGGGACCACCUGUGGCGAAGGCGCCUCACCAGAACGGCUUCGACAGUGAGGGACGAAAGCUGGGGGAGCAAACCGGAUUAGAUACCCGGGUAGUCCCAGCCGUAAACGAUGUGCGUUAGGUGUAUCAACGACCACGAGUCGUUGAGGUGCCGAAGGGAAACCGUGAAACGUACCGCCUGGGAAGUACGGUCGCAAGGCUGAAACUUAAAGGAAUUGGCGGGGGAGCA
rnacentral:rRNA from 1 species